rnacentral:rRNA from 1 species
AGGCUCGACAUGUUGGUAGUAGGGAGUCCGAAAGGUGACGACCUUCGGGAGCCUUCACAGGUGCUGCAUGGCUGUCGUCAGCUCGUGUCGUGAGAUGUCCGGUUAAGUCCGGUAACGAGCGCAACCCUCGCUGUGUGUUAUAUGUGUCACACGGGACUGCCGGUAUCAAGCCGGAGGAAGGUGGGGAUGACGUCAAGUCAGCAUGGCCUUUAUGUCUGGGGCUACACACACGCUACAAUGGCCAGUACAAUAGGUUGCAAGACCGCGAGGUGGAGCCAAUCCUUAAAGCUGGUCUCAGUUCGGAUUGCAGGCUGCAACUCGCCUGCAUGAAGUCGGAGUUGCUAGUAACCGCGCGUCAGCUAUAGUGCGGUGAAUACGUUCCCGGGCCUU